UUCUUCAAAGACGCUCAAUCUUUUCUCCAGCUACGUUCAAUAUACCAUACAUGCACCAUUGCUUACCUCGCCACCAUGAGGUAUUGCAUCAAUGACGAACACGGCGACGUCACGGGUGGUCCCUGGGUUAGUGUCGGGGGCCGCCAACCAUUUCGAUAUGGAAACGUUGAUGAAGUUCUUGCGGAAAUGGAGGAGGGUGUUGGGACUUAGGAUCAUCCUGUAUGUGCUAUCAACAAAAAUAUACGAACAAAGAAACAGGAAAAAAUAAUAAAAAGAAAUACACAGAAAAAAAAACAGCGAUUUACGUGGUUCGGCAAGUGGCCUACCUCCACGGGGAGAGCGAGAGAGAUGUAUCCUUUAUAUGAAAAAAAGAAAAUUUACAAGCCCACACCUUUAUGUUUCUCUCAAUCUAAUAUAAGAGCCUUAUGGUUACUACCACCCUUCUCUUCUUAUAACAAAUAAGAGAAACUCAACAAGCUACUAAUUAAGUUUCCAGCCUUCUCCUAAUACCUCACUUAAUUCACUCGUUGCUUGUGUUUCAUCUUGUUCAUUUAUCUGUGGAGAUGGAGGCUUUUUAUAGCCAUGGAUGCAGUUGCACAAUUGAAGUUUUCAUCUUCAAUUGUCAACUUGUCAUAAUUAGCCUAUAUAUAGAC
rnacentral:lncRNA from 1 species